rnacentral:rRNA from 1 species
GAUGAACGCUGGCGGCGUGCUUAACACAUGCAAGUCGAACGGAAAGGCUCCUGCUUGCAGGGGUACUCGAGUGGCGAACGGGUGAGUAACACGUGGGUGAUCUGCCCUGCACUUCGGGAUAAGCCUGGGAAACUGGGUCUAAUACCGGAUAGGACCACAUUUUGGAUGGUGUGGUGGAAAGUUUUUCGGUGUGGGAUGAGCUCGCGGCCUAUCAGCUUGUUGGUGGGGUAAUGGCCUACCAAGGCGUCGACAGGUAGCCGGCCUGAGAGGGUGUACGGCCACAUUGGGACUGAGAUACGGCCCAGACUCCUACGGGAGGCAGCAGUGGGGAAUAUUGCACAAUGGGCGCAAGCCUGAUGCAGCGACGCCGCGUGGGGGAUGACGGCCUUCGGGUUGUAAACUCCUUUCGCUAGGGACGAAGCGCAAGUGACGGUACCUGGAGAAGAAGCACCGGCUAACUACGUG